rnacentral:rRNA from 1 species
GGGCCCGCACAAGCAGCGGAGCAUGUGGUUUAAUUCGAAGCAACGCGAAGAACCUUACCAGGGCUUGACAUCCCUCCGAUACUGUAGAAAUGCAGUAGGCCUUUCGGGGCGGGGGAGACAGGUGGUGCAUGGUUGUCGUCAGCUCGUGUCGUGAGAUGUUGGGUUAAGUCCCGCAACGAGCGCAACCCUUAUCUUCAGUUACUAACGCGUAGAGGCGAGGACUCUGGAGAGACUGCCGGGGAUAACUCGGAGGAAGGUGGGGACGAUGUCAAAUCAUCAUGCCCCUUAUGUUCUGGGCUACACACGUGCUACAAUGGCCGCAACAAAGAGCAGCGAAUACGCAAGUACGAGCGAAUCUACAAAAAGCGGUACUCAGUUCAGAUCGUGGGCUGCAACCCGCCCACGUGAAGUCGGAGUUGCUAGUAAUCGCGGAUCAGCAUGCCG